CAUUACCUCCUGCAAAAGGUGGCUUCUGGAGGGGUAGAGCAGUCCGCAGGGAAGUCACAUUUAGGGUUGACUACUGAAGCCUUAGACAGCCCUAGAUGUUGGUGCUUUCUGCUGUUCUGGAAGGGAGCUGUGGCAAAUAACUGAUAUAGCCCCUCUCACUCUAUCUCCUGUCAGUGGUGAUUUGCCUAAUUAUGGAGUUGAAACAAGAGCCUUCCACCAGUGCCAAGCACACAAUACUUAGACUGCAUCUGUGUCCUAACUACAGCAGUGUCAGCACUACAGAUGGUUGUUACUAUAUAGACAUGCAUGCAGAAUGAAGAGGGGAAGCCAGAGGAGGUUUAUCUGCUUGCCAAGGUAGCAAGGUCAUUUGAAGUUGAUAUUGGCAGGGAAUUAAAUUCCUGUUGUUACCAACAAAAAACCCACACAGCCCCACUGCCUCCCUUGGUGAGUCUAGGACAGAACAGGGUCUGAUCAGCUAUAGAGACUGUGUCCUCUGGAGCCCUGACUUGCUGGACAACAGCUAUUAAGUUUUAUUCAAAUACUUACUUGCAUAUAGGUAAAAAACCCCACCUUGUUGCAAUCAAUCCUACUGCCUACUAAAAUCUCUUGAUUCAGUGUCAAGGUUGAACACAUUAGUAUAUCAAUAGGACAAGCUUCACUUAUGCUUCGUGGAGAUAUGCUGGCACAACUGUUAUCUUUGGGAGGGGAGUUCCCCCAGAGCAACAGCAGCAAUCUGCCAUCUUUGCUCUUCCUUGCUUUCUGCUCACUGAUGUAAUGUGGAGUGGUGAAUCAGACUAACAGCUGGAACUGCCAGACGUCUCCAAUACAGGUUCACCAGUCACCUACCAAAUGAAAACAGAUCAGGACUGGCAGUGAAGUAGGUGAAAGGCUGUGCCACAAGAGACAGUGGAGAUUUAGGCUCCUGUUAGCAAGAAUGCCAGGGAAAUGAAGUAUUCCAAAAGACGGUCAUGUGGCAGUCUUGGUACCUGUUUGCCAAGCCAACUGCAUACAAACUAGGAUUCUGUGGUUUACAUGGAUGUAUUGGGUCUUUGUAGCUAGAAACAAAACAUCACAUGCUCACAUACACAGGUCACCAUAAGGGUUCAAAUCCUAACCCUUUAAUCACUGAUAGGCAAGAAAGACAAGUUGUGUGAUUUUCCUGAAUCCUGCCCCUGGAGAAAUGCCCUGGGUUCUAGCAACGUGUGUAAUUGUUUUUGAGCAACAAAGCCCAGCAAUGUCAGGACUCUGCCUUCUGAGCCUAGCAAUGUCUACAGCCAGCACAACAAUGCUGCUAGGAGAGACACCAAUACCUUUGGAACUGCAUCUGUUAAAGCAGCUAGAGACUAGACAGUCAAAAGCAUCCUUGUCAAACCUCCUUGCCAGCUUGCAGAGCAAGUGUCAGUUCUCAUUUCUAUUGAAAAA